rnacentral:rRNA from 1 species
CACGUAGGGCGCAAGCGUUGUCCGGAUUAUUGGGCGUAAAGAGCUCGUAGGCGGUCUGUUGCGUCCGCUGUGAAAACUCGGGGCUUAACCCCGAGCCUGCAGUGGAUACGGGCAGACUAGAGGUAGGUAGGGGAGAAUGGAAUUCCCGGUGUAGCGGUGAAAUGCGCAGAUAUCGGGAGGAACACCGGUGGCGAAGGCGGUUCUCUGGGCCUUACCUGACGCUGAGGAGCGAAAGCGUGGGGAGCGAACAGG